CGCGGGCGGCGGGCGGCGGCCGAGCAGGCGGUGGCGUCCGGCGAGGGGCCAGACGGGAGGCGUGCCAGGCGGUGCCCCGGUGGUCCAGUGCAUGCCCGGAGCAGGUGGCGACCUCCGGUGAGCUGCAAGCUGGCGAGCGCCGAGCGGCAAGGUGCCGUGGCGGCGUCCAGUGAGCCGGCGAUGGGCCAGACAGAAGGCAGGCCAGGCGGAGGCGGUGGUCCAGCACUCCAGCGCCUGCGCCGCCACGCCGCCGGGAAGGUGGCGAGCCGCUCGCUGGCGAGGUGCCGCGAGGGCGCAAGGCGCCGAGGCAGGCAGGCAGCAGGUCAGCGGCACAGUGGCCGGCAAGGCAGCAACGAGUCAACGACGCAGUCGCAGCCUACUGUGACUGUGAUUGAAGAUUUGAAGUUAGAAAUCGGUAAACUAGCGAAUAGGCGCGGGCGGCGGGCGGCGGCCGAGCAGGCGGUGGCGUCCGGCGAGGGGCCAGACGGGAGGCGUGCCAGGCGGUGCCCCGGUGGUCCAGUGCAUGCCCGGAGCAGGUGGCGACCUCCGGUGAGCUGCAAGCUGGCGAGCGCCGAGCGGCAAGGUGCCGUGGCGGCGUCCAGUGAGCCGGCGAUGGGCCAGACAGAAGGCAGGCCAGGCGGAGGCGGUGGUCCAGCACUCCAGCGCCUGCGCCGCCACGCCGCCGGGAAGGUGGCGAGCCGCUCGCUGGCGAGGUGCCGCGAGGGCGCAAGGCGCCGAGGCAGGCAGGCAGCAGGUCAGCGGCACAGUGGCCGGCAAGGCAGCAACGAGUCAACGACGCAGUCGCAGCCUACUGUGACUGUGAUUGAAGAUUUGAAGUUAGAAAUCGGUAAACUAGUAACCUCUAAUACUAAUAGAUAGUCUAAAAUUG
rnacentral:lncRNA from 1 species